ensembl:lncRNA MEG8 maternally expressed 8, small nucleolar RNA host gene
AAAUCUAGGUUUUUUCAUCCUUUUUAAUAUCAGCCUUGUGUUCCACAGAAUGGAGGCUCCAGAGUGAAAUUAAUGACACUUUGUCGAUGAAGAUCUUGAUUGUGACCUCUGUGGAAAAUGAGCCAUGAACCAACCAAUAAGCAGGCUUAGUCACCCUUGACACAGUUUGCAGUUAUCCACCUCCUCCAAGUUCUUAAUAUGUUAGAUCCAGAUAACUGCCUUGUACAGCCACCUCCAGGAUACUGCCUCCCUAAAAAACAGCUAGAUACACUGACCCCACAGCCUAUGUGGACCACACAGAUAUAGUGGCUUGCUCUAAAUGCACCAGUGAGAACUCUCUGCAGGAAACCUGCUUGGGAAAUGCCAUAGCCUGCAAUACAGGCUUUCCCCUUCCCGCUGGCCCUGUGAGGCAUGCAGGAUCUGUAAGUAAUAAACUGCU